CCGGUAGCUCAGUUGGUUAGAGCGCCAGCCUGUCACGUUGGAGGUCGAGGGUUCGAGCCCCUUCCG
rnacentral:tRNA from 3 species